UGCAAGUCGAGCGAGCUUGCCUAGAUGAUUUUGGUGCUUGCACUAAAUGAAACUAGAUACAAGCGAGCGGCGGACGGGUGAGUAACACGUGGGUAACCUGCCCAAGAGACUGGGAUAACACCUGGAAACAGAUGCUAAUACCGGAUAACAACACUAGACGCAUGUCUAGAGUUUGAAAGAUGGUUCUGCUAUCACUCUUGGAUGGACCUGCGGUGCAUUAGCUAGUUGGUAAGGUAACGGCUUACCAAGGCAAUGAUGCAUAGCCGAGUUGAGAGACUGAUCGGCCACAUUGGGACUGAGACACGGCCCAAACUCCUACGGGAGGCAGCAGUAGGGAAUCUUCCACAAUGGACGAAAGUCUGAUGGAGCAACGCCGCGUGAGUGAAGAAGGGUUUCGGCUCGUAAAGCUCUGUUGGUAGUGAAGAAAGAUAGAGGUAGUAACUGGCCUUUAUUUGACGGUAAUUACUUAGAAAGUCACGGCUAACUACGUGCCAGCAGCCGCGGUAAUACGUAGGUGGCAAGCGUUGUCCGGAUUUAUUGGGCGUAAAGCGAGUGCAGGCGGUUCAAUAAGUCUGAUGUGAAAGCCUUCGGCUCAACCGGAGAAUUGCAUCAGAAACUGUUGAACUUGAGUGCAGAAGAGGAGAGUGGAACUCCAUGUGUAGCGGUGGAAUGCGUAGAUAUAUGGAAGAACACCAGUGG
rnacentral:rRNA from 1 species